rnacentral:lncRNA from 1 species
CACAGGUAUCUUUGUGUGGCUUUCCUUUUGUUUUCAUUAUUUGUAUGUUCUCCUUAGACAGCAAAAGUUCAUUAGGAUAGAGAAAAAUGAUUGCUUUAAUUACAUUUCUCUUAUGAUUCAGGAAGGCUUAAGUACAGAGAAAGGAUAUCUUGGAAAAGAGCAAAACUAUCUGGCAACCUGUUCUGGAAGGUUUCUCAGCAUGCCUAGACCCAGCUGUUUCCAAUCCUGUGAUUAUGUGCUUUACUUCUCCAUGUUAAACAUGAGGUAUUAAGAGGUACCCCCUUUCCUGAUUGGAUGACAGGCAUCCCCCAAACUUUCCCAGACAGCAUAAAACAUACAAUGAUGAGAAAGCAGAAAUCAUGUGGCAUCUGUAGGGACUGGUUAAUUAUGCUAGGAAGCUGGACUGGGGUGAUGGCAUGGACCCUAAAGUUCAUGUUUGAACUUCUUAGGAGACAAAACAAAAAAGGUAAAUCCAAUGGUUUAUCUAGUUAUG